rnacentral:rRNA from 1 species
AAUGGGUCAGCGACUUAUAUUCUGUAGCAAGGUUAACCGAAUAGGGGAGCCGAAGGGAAACCGAGUCUUAACUGGGCGUUAAGUUGCAGGGUAUAGACCCGAAACCCGGUGAUCUAGCCAUGGGCAGGUUGAAGGUUGGGUAACACUAACUGGAGGACCGAACCGACUAAUGUUGAAAAAUUAGCGGAUGACUUGUGGCUGGGGGUGAAAGGCCAAUCAAACCGGGAGAUAGCUGGUUCUCCCCGAAAGCUAUUUAGGUAGCGCCUCGUGAAUUCAUCUCCGGGGGUAGAGCACUGUUUCGGCAAGGGGGUCAUCCCGACUUACCAACCCGAUGCAAACUGCGAAUACCGGAGAAUGUUAUCACGGGAGACACACGGCGGGUGCUAACGUCCGUCGUGAAGAGGGAAACAACCCAGACCGCCAGCUAAGGUCCCAAAGUCAUGGUUAAGUGGGAAACGAUGUGGGAAGGCCCAGACAGCCAGGAUGUUGGCUUAGAAGCAGCCAUCAUUUAAAGAAAGCGUAAUAGCUCACUGGUCGAGUCGGCCUGCGCGGAAGAUGUAACGGGGCUAAACCAUGCACCGAAGCUGCGGCAGCGACGCUUAUGCGUUGUUGGGUAGGGGAGCGUUCUGUAAGCCUGUGAAGGUGUGCUGUGAGGCAUGCUGGAGGUAUCAGAAGUGCGAAUGCUGACAUAAGUAACGAUAAAGCGGGUGAAAAGCCCGCUCGCCGGAAGACCAAGGGUUCCUGUCCAACGUUAAUCGGGGCAGGGUGAGUCGACCCCUAAGGCGAGGCCGAAAGGCGUAGUCGAUGGGAAACAGGUUAAUAUUCCUGUACUUGGUGUUACUGCGAAGGGGGGACGGAGAAGGCUAUGUUGGCCGGGCGACGGUUGUCCCGGUUUAAGCGUGUAGGCUGGUUUUCCAGGCAAAUCCGGAAAAUCAAGGCUGAGGCGUGAUGACGAGGCACUACGGUGCUGAAGCAACAAAUGCCCUGCUUCCAGGAAAAGCCUCUAAGCAUCAGGUAACAUCAAAUCGUACCCCAAACCGACACAGGUGGUCAGGUAGAGAAUACCAAGGCGCUUGAGAGAACUCGGGUGAAGGAACUAGGCAAAAUGGUGCCGUAACUUCGGGAGAAGGCACGCUGAUAUGUAGGUGAAGUCCCUCGCGGAUGGAGCUGAAAUCAGUCGAAGAUACCAGCUGGCUGCAACUGUUUAUUAAAAACACAGCACUGUGCAAACACGAAAGUGGACGUAUACGGUGUGACGCCUGCCCGGUGCCGGAAGGUUAAUUGAUGGGGUCAGCGCAAGCGAAGCUCUUGAUCGAAGCCCCGGUAAACGGCGGCCGUAACUAUAACGGUCCUAAGGUAGCGAAAUUCCUUGUCGGGUAAGUUCCGACCUGCACGAAUGGCGUAAUGAUGGCCAGGCUGUCUCCACCCGAGACUCAGUGAAAUUGAACUCGCUGUGAAGAUGCAGUGUACCCGCGGCAAGACGGAAAGACCCCGUGAACCUUUACUAUAGCUUGACACUGAACAUUGAGCCUUGAUGUGUAGGAUAGGUGGGAGGCUUAGAAGUGUGGACGCCAGUCUGCAUGGAGCCGACCUUGAAAUACCACCCUUUAAUGUUUGAUGUUCUAACGUUGACCCGUAAUCCGGGUUGCGGACAGUGUCUGGUGGGUAGUUUGACUGGGGCGGUCUCCUC